CAGCCGCCGCGGUAACACCGGCAGCCCGAGUGGUGGCCACUAUUAUUGGGUCUAAAGCGUCCGUAGCCGGCCUAGUAAGUCUCUCGGGAAAUCCGGCGGCUUAACCGUCGGGCGUCCGAGAGAUACUGCUAGGCUUGGGACCGGGAGAGGCCGAGGGUACUCCCGGGGUAGGGGUGAAAUCCUGUAAUCCCGGGAGGACCACCGGUGGCGAAGGCGCUCGGCUGGAACGGGUCCGACGGUGAGGGACGAAGGCCAGGGGAGCGAACCGGAUUAGAUACCCGGGUAGUCCUGGCUGUAAACGAUGCGGGCUAGGUGUCGGGUGAGCUACGGGCUCCCCCGGUGCCGGAGGGAAGCCGUGAAGCCCGCCACCUGGGGAGUACGGCCGCAAGGCUGAAACUUAAAGGAAUUGGCGGG
rnacentral:rRNA from 1 species